rnacentral:rRNA from 1 species
GCCCGCUCAGAAACUCAAAGGAAUUGACGGGGGCCCGCACAAGCGGUGGAGCAUGUGGUUUAAUUCGACGCUACGCGAAGAACCUUACCUGGGCUUGAACUGCUGGUGGUAGAAGCCCGAAAGGGUAACGACCCGGAGCAAUCCGGGAGCCAGUAGAGGUGCUGCAUGGCUGUCGUCAGCUCGUGUCGUGAGAUGUUGGGUUAAGUCCCGCAACGAGCGCAACCCUUACCCUUAGUUGCCAGCGGGUAAUGCCGGGCACUCUAAGGGGACCGCCCCGGAUAACGGGGAGGAAGGCGGGGAUGACGUCAAGUCAGCAUGGCCUUUAUGUCCAGGGCUACACACGUGCUACAAUGGGCGAUACAGAGGGAAGCAAGGCCGCAAGGUAGAGCUAAUCCCUAAAGUCGUCCUCAGUUCGGAUUGCAGGCUGCAACUCGCCUGCAUGAAGUCGGAAUCGCUAGUAAUCGCGGACUCAGCUACGCCGACGGUGAAUACGUUCUCGGCCUU